GGUGGCUCAGUGGUAGAGCACUUGCCUUGCAUGCAUGAAGCCCUGGCUUCGAUUCCUUGGCACCA
rfam:Dipodomys ordii contig_53212, whole genome shotgun sequence.